AAUCAAUAUCUACCAUUAAUUUUAUCGCAUUUUAUGAUUAUAAAAGCAGUUCUUUACGAAUCAUUGGGUUUUAUUUUUAUUGAUAAAUAGGUACGAGAAUUUUAUCGAUAUUAUAAUAAAUAAAUGAAAAUUUCAAUAAACCAAUUUAUUCCAACAACUUAUUUUGUGGGAUUUAAAAUCGAUAUUAAUCUUAUCAAGUAUCGAGGAACGACUUUUUUAUUCAACGUUGAUGAAAAAAACCAUGUAUGUGUGUAAGUCUUGUCACUUUUGACAGUUACUAUUUUCUUUUUUCUGUUGAAAACUUUAGCCGAAAUUGUCUGAACUGUUUGAACUGAAAAAGUCUCAAGAAGUUUCUUUUAAGUAUCCAAAGGUGCUUCCCCUUGGUGACGAAAAUGCCGCACCGCCACUGUGACUAAUGCUGAUGCUGUUGCUACAAAUAGUGCUUUGCCCGACGGAAUUGAAAUUAUGUGAACUCCCAGCGCAGAGGCUGAAGCCAAAGGAGACAUGAUGGUUUUGCAGUGCGAGCAGAUACAAUGCGAUAGCAAGAAGGCGGACACCAUGGAAAUGGUAGCUGCAGCAAGAAAUACACAAACUGCUGUAAAUUAGGCCCACAAUGCCAGAUGAAUGGCAUUCAUAGAAGCAGGACUUGAGUUGUGGAAAAAUGUAGAUAGUAUUCCUAAUCGUAAUUCAUUAAUGAAUCCUACUUAAUAUAACAAAAACAUGUCUUUAAAUGCAUCAACAUGGUACCUAAGUUAUAUACUUUUUUCUAGGCUCUUGAGAAAAAAGAGGAAUAGUUCUAAUUAUGUAAUAACUUGAUUGUUACUGAAUGAUUAUGAGAAUACUCAAAGACUUAUAUGGGAAAUAAGGCUUUUAUCAUUAAUAUUAUUAGUUUUAUUAAAGCUUUGUUGUUUUCCAAGAUGAUUUAGUCAGCAGUGGAUAUCUGACUUUAGAAAACAUAUACUUAGGUAAUUUGGUUAUUCUAGGAAAGAGACUUAAAUAAACAAACUGUGAUUAAUUUGUUGUUUAAAUAAAUAUAAAGUGAAUGUGUA